AUGGGACAUAUUUUUGAGUAAGUUGUAUACACCCAUAUUUUUACACUUGACUGUAAUCUUAAGAGGCUGUCAAUAGUGUCAAUACCUAAAACGCACACACUGUCUAAUUGUAUCGUAGUAAAUGAGAUAGCACUGUCGCAUGUUACUGGGCCUGGGCAAGGGAAUAAUAAGAAAACUCAUCA